AAGGUAUCCCGUAUCCAGCCGCACAUCGGGAUCAUCUCUAUACGAGUAGGGAGAUAUUCCUGAUAUGCGGCUGAUGUACAUUGAUCGUUUUCGCACGCUUUGCGAGUUUGCGUAGAUCCGGGCUCGCAUGCAAGGCCAAAUACAAGUAGGGAGACAGGCAGGCCAGGAUUGAUUCGCUUCGUUUGCUGUCGUCUUCCACUUUUCACAAAUCUUCGCUGGCCUCCUAACUCAUUGAAUUGAUCCUCCUCUCACAACAACAUUUACAGGCCUCGAUCAAAUCCAUAGAAGAUGUCGGGCGGGUUCUUCCGGGGUACUUCUGCCGACCAAGACACUCGAUUCUCGAACAAACAGGCGAAGCUUUUGAAAACUCAGAAGUUCGCACCUGAAUUGGAUCAUCUGGUGGACAUGACGAAGGUAAAGAUGGAUGUCAUCAGACCUUGGAUUGCUAAUAGGGUGACCAAGCUUCUCGGGUUCGAAGAUGAAGUUCUAAUCAAUCUCAUAUAUGGACUUCUAGAUGGAAAAGACGUUAAUGGGAAGGAGGUUCAGAUCCAUCUUACUGGGUUCAUGGAGAAAAAUACUGGGAAGUUCAUGAAAGAGCUUUGGACUCUCCUGCUUAGUGCCCAGAAGAAUGCAAGCGGUGUUCCUCAACAGUUUUUGGAUGCUAAGGAAGAGGAAACUAGGAAGAAGAAGGUUGAGGCAGACCGGAUUAAACUUGAAAUUCAGAAGAAGAAAGAGAAAGAGGGAAGAGAGCUUGACCAAGAGAAGCUGAAGAAGAUGGAUGGCGAGGUUGAUGUCUCCAAGGAAACUAAUGUUGCGUCUGACCCAAUCUUGAGGUAUUCACAGUCGAGAGCUCCCAGUGCUCACCCUGAUGAAGAAAAGGAAGCUGAGGAGAGGAAAGGCUCAAGAGGAAAUGACAGGAGCCUACGUUCCAGGUCAAUCAGUAGGUCACUUUCCAAUUCCAGGAACCACUCAGGUGAUAGGUACAAAUCAAGAAGCAUGUCUGGAUCACCUCAAUUGAGAAGGCACUCUAUUUCUCCUGAUAGGGGGUAUCGGUCACCACAAAGACAUUCUAUUUCUCCUCGAUGCAGACAUUCACCAAGAAGAUCCAGGUCUCCUCUAAGGAGAUCUCAUUUACAGCACAAAUCACCCUCUCUUGUGCAGCAUAGGAUGUCCUCCCCAUUGCCUGUGCGACACAGAUCUCCUUCCUCGUCGCCUGUGCGGCACAAAUCUCCAGUGCCUGUGCGACGCAGAUCUCCCUCCUCGUCACCCAUGCAGCACAAAUCUCCAGUGCCUGUACGGCAUAGAUCUCCAUCUCUUGUGCGAUGGAAACAUCCAUCUCCUAUGCAACACAGAUCUCCAUCUCCUGUGCGACGUAGAUCUCCAUCUCCUGUAAGAUACAAAUCAUCUCCUUUUAGGCAUCGAUCCCCACCUCGCUUGCGCCGAAGAUCUCCAUCACCUAUACGACAUAGAUCUCCUCUGAGAUGGAGGUCUCCCAUCUGCAGGCGGUCACGAACACCUUCCCGGCAUAGGUCUCCAUCUCGCCGGUGGAGGUCACCAUUGCCUCAGUAUUGGUCUCCACCACUGAUAAGGAAGUCACCUCUUCCUAGGUCCCCAAGACACAGAAAACGAUCCUCUAGACAAGGAAAUAGGAGUCAUAGUCCUUAUAGAAGUUACAGUCCUGCAUACCGAAGCCGAAGGAGCUUGAGUAGGGAUCAUGACCUCUCCAUUAAUGGAAUGGAUAACAGAAAAUACCACGAGGGUUCUGAAUCUCAAAGUCCUCCAUAUAGGACCCGUGAGAAAAUGUCUCCUGUUCAUCAUACCCCUGAGAGAGAUGAGGUUGAUCAGUCUGAUCAGGCAUGCACUGGGCAUCCAAUUUAUCAAAGCAAGGCCCAUCAGAAAAUGUCUUUAUUGUCACCAUCACAAGAAAUGUCUCGAAGUCCAUCAGAAACUUCACCAAAUCCACAGAGAAUGAAUCCCAGCGAAGAUAGGAUAUCCAAUGCAUCUGACAGUCCUGUUAGGCAAACAAGAGAACAAUUACACCACCAUGACCAGCCAAGUCCUGUCAAGCAACUAAGAGGUCAUAUUAUUCAUCAUGACAAUUCAGGAGCAAGUGAGGAGGAACUUAUUCUCUACAGGGAUCAUGGGAAUAACAUUUUUGAUUCCUCACGAAAAAGAACAAGGCAUUCAUCCAUAAGUGAUGGUCAGAAAAAAACUCUUACAAAGGUUCUUCAGCAAGAAGAAUAUUCCCCUGAAAGAUUAGCUAGCUGUGGUUCUGUUGAAGGUUGGAGUCGUCCAGAUGACAUGCUGCCAAGGAGAAAAGACAAGGACAGAAAAAGUGAGAAAGCUUCAGUCUGGACCGAUCAUCCUGAAAGCCCUAUUCAGUGGACAUCACCAAUGUUGGAAGAAGUUGAAUAUAGGCCAGGGAGGCUAAGGGGAGAAGGCUAUAUAAUCGAGCAUGCCCAGGACAAAAAACCAUCUGUGUAUGAACAUGAAAGAGAUUCUUCUUCAUAUGAAGAGUUACAGAGACGGUGUCUCAGAGAAGGUCGAACAGCUGAUGAAAAGAAGCAUUCUUAUUUGACCAAUAUCGAGGGAAGUGACCGAGUUUACAAAAUAGAAGUUCAUAAAUCGGGGAAAAAGGUUGAUAGGAAAAGCCAAGCUGGUGCUUAUGGUUCUGAUUCUGAAAAUGAGAAGCACAGAUCCAAAUACAUGGAAAGGAGAAAGCAUAAGAGAGUGGAUAGGCAUGAAUUGAAUUUGGAUGAUUAUCAUGAUUCUCAAAUUGAUGAGAGGAAGGAGGCAAAGAAAAGAAGGAAAGAAGAAAGGAGAUUACAGAAAGAGGAGAGGCGUUGACGCCAUGAAGAAUGGCACCAUAGAAGGGAAGAAAGGAAAGCAGCCAAGAUGAAAGUCAAGUCAGUGGAUAUGGUGACUCCACCUUCAGAUUUUGAGAGAAACCAGACUAAUGCCAAUGGUUCAGAUGAGAAAGUUGAUGCAAGGAGGGAAUCACAUCUGAAUGAUGCUGAAGACUCAGAGUCUGAGCAGAAAAGACUUGAGAUUGAGUUGCGAAAAAAGGCUCUUGAAUCAUUAAGAGCAAAGAAGGGCAUUAAUAACUAAUUCUACUUUUUGCUACUCUUGAUGCAUUGAGCUGUUUUUCUUUUUCUUCUUUUUAUUUUUCUGUUGAAGAGCAUUUUCUAUCAUUUAAUGGCAAUCUUAUGUUUUUCUAAAGUGGGAAUGAUUCUGUUAUACAGCAUAGCUGUUUAAUGUAGUCUGUGUUUACUGGUGGCAGCUGAAAACUGGAAAAAUGAGGAUUUCCUGAGCUAUUCUGUUGAUGUGCAACUUUGUGCAGACCUUGCUGCUAGAUUUUCUGAUGAGAAUACUGUCAACUAGAUGACUUGGUUGAGCAGGGCCUUGUGCAGAACCACUUAUUGAACAUCAAUUCAGCAUGAGAGCUGUUAUGCGGACUUUGUUUUUAAAAUUCAUCAAGGUGAUAUAGGCACCCGACUCAUACUGUCUUGCUGUUGAUGUCAGCUGUCAAGUGUCUCUGGAUGGCGUCACCAUGGGGUUUUUAUUCAUUAGAAGCAAUUAAAGGGAGAUACUGGUUUGCUAUUUUGGACUGGUUGGCUGUUGGCAUCAGCAAAUAUUAUAACUGAGGUCCUGGUUUUGAGUCCCUUACUGUCUGGUGGCGGUGCUUAGUUUUUACAGAGGUGUUUAGUCAUUGAUUGACUGAAUCUAGUUCAGUUGGAGUGGCAAGAGUGGAGUUCGUGGAAUUUCAGUAGUUUUGGCAAUAAUGUUGUAAAAUGGUUUUUAGUUUGGAUGUUAUUUGGGUAUUUGGAUGACAUGGGGUAUAUCUGGAUUCAAUUAUUUACAUAUUUUUUUAGUAUGUAAUUUGAGGUAGGUUAGACUCUUGAAUUUUAUUAA